GAUGAACGCUGGCGGCGUGCCUAAUACAUGCAAGUCGAGCGAACGGACGAGAAGCUUCCUUCUCUGAUGUUUGCGGCGGACGGGUGAGUAACACGUGGAUAACCUACCUAUAAGACUGGGAUAACUUCGGGAAACCGUAGCUAAUACCGGAUAAUAUUUUGAACCGCAUGGUUCAAAAGUGAAAGACGGUCUUGCUGUCACUUAUAGAUGGAUCCGCGCUGCAUUGGGUAGUUGGUAAGGUAACGGUUUACCAAGCCAACGAUUCAUAGCCGACCUGAGAGGGUAUUGGACCAAACUGGAACGGGGAAACGGUCCGGAUUCCUACGGGAGGAAGAAGUAGGGAAUCUUCCGCAAUGGGCGAAAGCCUGACGGAGAAACGCCGCGUGAGUGAUGAAGGUCUUCGGAUCGUAAACCUCUGUUAUUAGGGAAGAAGAUAGGUGUAAGUAACUGUGCACAUCGUGACGGUACCUAAUCAGAAAGCCACGGCUAACUACGUG
rnacentral:rRNA from 1 species